rnacentral:tRNA from 1 species
GCCAAGUUAGUUUAACUAAAACACUAUAAUUUCAGUAUAGAGAUAGAAUUAUACAUUUCUUCUAGGCU